rnacentral:rRNA from 1 species
UACGUAGGGUGCGAGCGUUGUCCGGAAUUACUGGGCGUAAAGAGCUCGUAGGUGGUUUGUCGCGUUGUCCGUGAAAACUCACAACUCAAUUGUGGGCGUGCGGGCGAUACGGGCAGACUGGAGUACUGCAGGGGAGACUGGAAUUCCUGGUGUAGCGGUGGAAUGCGCAGAUAUCAGGAGGAACACCGGUGGCGAAGGCGGGUCUCUGGGCCAAAACUGACGCUGAGGAGCGAAAGCGUGGGGAGCGAACAGG